rnacentral:miRNA from 1 species
UCUGGUCAUUUCUCUUCCCCGC